AGAGAGAGAAUGCUGGCAGGGGACCAA
rnacentral:piRNA from 1 species